rnacentral:rRNA from 1 species
UACGAAGGGGGCUAGCGUUGCUCGGAAUCACUGGGCGUAAAGCGCACGUAGGCGGAUCUUUAAGUCAGGGGUGAAAUCCUGGAGCUCAACUCCAGAACUGCCUUUGAUACUGGCGACCUUGAGUUCGGGAGAGGUGAGUGGAACUGCGAGUGUAGAGGUGAAAUUCGUAGAUAUUCGCAAGAACACCAGUGGCGAAGGCGGCUCACUGGCCCGAUACUGACGCUGAGGUGCGAAAGCGUGGGGAGCAAACAGG